UACGUAGGGUGCGAGCGUUGUCCGGAAUUAUUGGGCGUAAAGAGCUUGUAGGUGGUUUGUCGCGUCUGCUGUGAAAAUCCGAGGCUCAACCUCGGACUUGCAGUGGGUACGGGCAGACUAGAGUGUGGUAGGGGAGACUGGAAUUCCUGGUGUAGCGGUGGAAUGCGCAGAUAUCAGGAGGAACACCGAUGGCGAAGGCAGGUCUCUGGGCCAUUACUGACACUGGAGAAAGCGAAAAGCCAUGGGGGAGCGAACAGGAU
rnacentral:rRNA from 1 species